rnacentral:lncRNA from 1 species
AAUCCCUGGCAUUUUGAUUUACAGGUUUGUCUUUUAAAACUCGCACCCCGAGUACGAAACCUGCCUGCCCUCUCCAAGUUUGGAAACAUCCAACCGCCCGCACACCUCCCAGAGUUCCAGGGACGCAGAGUUCCAAGAUGGUUUUUUUUUUUUUUUUAAUCUUGUUUAUAAGAACAACAAGGCCAGCUCACACAUGUCAGAGCGCCGAUUACUCACAGUCAAAAC